GACGAACGCUGGCGGCGUGCUUAACACAUGCAAGUCGAACGGAAAGGCCUGCUUUCCCUUGUGGAUUGCGGGUACUCGAGUGGCGAACGGGUGAGUAACACGUGAGUGAUCUUCCCCCAACUUGGGUAUAAGCCUGGGAAACUGGGUCUAAUUCCCGAUAGUACUGCAGGGUGGUGCCUGUGGUGGAAAACGAUUUUCUAGUGGUUGGGGAUGAGCUCGCGGCCUAUCAGCUUGUUGGUGGGGUACUGGCCUACCAAGGCGGCGACGGGUAGCCGGACUGAGAGGGUGGACGGGCACAUUGGGACUGAGAUACGGCCCAGACUCCUACGGGAGGCAGCAGUGGGGAAUAUUACACAAUGGGCGGAAGCCUGAUGCAGCGACGCCGCGUGGGGGAUGACGGCCUUCGGGUUGUAAUCUCCUUUCGACCGCGAGGAAGCCACCUGGUUGGAAGGGUGGUGACGGUAGUGGUAGAAGAAGCACCGGCUAACUACGUG
rnacentral:rRNA from 1 species